rnacentral:rRNA from 1 species
UACGGAGGGUGCGAGCGUUGUCCGGAAUCACUGGGCGUAAAGGGCGCGUAGGCGGGGAGGUAAGUCGGGUGUGAAAUCCCUCGGCCCAACUGAGGAACUGCGCCCGAGACUGCUUCUCUUGAGUCCCGGAGAGGAAGAUGGAAUCCCCGGUGUAGUGGUGAAAUGCGUAGAGAUCGGGGGAACACCCGUGGCGAAGGCGGCCAGCUGGGCCGGUCCUGACGCUGAGGCGCGAAGGCGUGGGAGC